rnacentral:hammerhead_ribozyme from 1 species
AUCCAGCUGACGAGUGCCAAACAAGACGAAUCGCCCAUCCUGGAU